rnacentral:tRNA from 1 species
CAAUUUAAAGCUUAUUAAGUAAAGCAUUUCAUUUACAUUGAAAAUAUAUUUGUGCAAAUCAAAUUAAAUUGA